GGAAAUGAAGAUUUAAGUCCCGUGCAGAAGUUCUAUUACUUGAAGUCGUGUUUGGUCGGCGAAGCUGCCUCUUUGGUUACGACUUUGGAAUGUACGAACGAAAACUACGUGAAGGCAUGGUCUGCGAUUACAUCAAGAUAUGACAAUAAGCAGCGCUGCCAAGCAUUAGAUAUGCUAUGCCGUGAUGAAGCAGUGAGCACUACAAAGGUUGUGCCUCCGGCAAAGAGCACUAGUCAUGUGACUGUUGGCAGCGGCAGUAAUGCAAAUGGAGAAAAGGUGCGAACAGAGCUACCUUGAUUCUGUGUCCAGGGAUGAAGAAGGAAGGUAUCAUGUCGAUUUGCCAAUAAACAAAGAACUUCUACCAAAACUAGGUAAUUCUUACAAUGUUGCUUUUCGUUGUCUUAUGUCAUUGGAGAAAAAA